rnacentral:rRNA from 1 species
AGACCCGAAACCCGGUGAUCUAGCCAUGGGCAGGUUGAAGGUUGGGUAACACUAACUGGAGGACCGAACCGACUAAUGUUGAAAAAUUAGCGGAUGACCUGUGGCUGGGGGUGAAAGGCCAAUCAAACCGGGAGAUAGCUGGUUCUCCCCGAAAGCUAUUUAGGUAGCGCCUCGUGAAUUCAUCUCCGGGGGUAGAGCACUGUUUCGGCUAGGGGGCCAUCCCGGCUUACCAACCCGAUGCAAACUGCGAAUACCGGAGAAUGUUAUCACGGGAGACACACGGCGGGUGCUAACGUCCGUCGUGAAGAGGGAAACAACCCAGACCGCCAGCUAAGGUCCCAAAGUCAUGGUUAAGUGGGAAACGAUGUGGGAAGGCCCAGACAGCCAGGAUGUUGGCUUAGAAGCAGCCAUCAUUUAAAGAAAGCGUAAUAGCUCACUGGUCGAGUCGGCCUGCGCGGAAGAUGUAACGGGGCUAAACCAUGCACCGAAGCUGCGGCAGCGACGCUUAUGCGUUGUUGGGUAGGGGAGCGUUCUGUAAGCCUGUGAAGGUGGCCUGUGAGGGUUGCUGGAGGUAUCAGAAGUGCGAAUGCUGACAUAAGUAACGAUAAAGCGGGUGAAAAGCCCGCUCGCCGGAAGACCAAGGGUUCCUGUCCAACGUUAAUCGGGGCAGGGUGAGUCGACCCCUAAGGCGAGGCCGAAAGGCGUAGUCGAUGGGAAACAGGUUAAUAUUCCUGUACUUGGUGUUACUGCGAAGGGGGGACGGAGAAGGCUAUGUUGGCCGGGCGACGGUUGUCCCGGUUUAAGCGUGUAGGUGUGUGUUCCAGGUAAAUCCGGUUCACUUUAACACUGAGGCGUGACGACGAGGCACUACGGUGCUGAAGCAACAAAUGCCCUGCUUCCAGGAAAAGCCUCUAAGCAUCAGGUAACAUCAAAUCGUACCCCAAACCGACACAGGUGGUCAGGUAGAGAAUACCAAGGCGCUUGAGAGAACUCGGGUGAAGGAACUAGGCAAAAUGGUGCCGUAACUUCGGGAGAAGGCACGCUGACACGUAGGUGAAGUGAUUUACUCAUGGAGCUGAAGUCAGUCGAAGAUACCAGCUGGCUGCAACUGUUUAUUAAAAACACAGCACUGUGCAAACACGAAAGUGGACGUAUACGGUGUGACGCCUGCCCGGUGCCGGAAGGUUAAUUGAUGGGGUCAGCGCAAGCGAAGCUCCUGAUCGAAGCCCCGGUAAACGGCGGCCGUAACUAUAACGGUCCUAAGGUAGCGAAAUUCCUUGUCGGGUAAGUUCCGACCUGCACGAAUGGCGUAAUGAUGGCCAGGCUGUCUCCACCCGAGACUCAGUGAAAUUGAACUCGCUGUGAAGAUGCAGUGUACCCGCGGCAAGACGGAAAGACCCCGUGAACCUUUACUAUAGCUUGACACUGAACAUUGAGCCUUGAUGUGUAGGAUAGGUGGGAGGCUUUGAAGCGUGGACGCCAGUCUGC